UGGGGAAUUUUGGACAAUGGGGGAAACCCUGAUCCAGCCAUCCCGCGUGUGCGAUGAAGGCCUUCGGGUUGUAAAGCACUUUUGGCAGGAAAGAAACGUCGCGGGUUAAUACCCCGCGAAACUGACGGUACCUGCAGAAUAAGCACCGGCUAACUACGUGCCAGCAGCCGCGGUAAUACGUAGGGUGCAAGCGUUAAUCGGGAAUUACUGGGCGUAAAGCGUGCGCAGGCGGUUCGGAAAGAAAGAUGUGAAAUCCCAGAGCUUAACUUUGGAACUGCAUUUUUAACUACCGGGCUAGAGUGUGUCAGAGGGAGGUGGAAUUCCGCGUGUAGCAGUGAAAUGCGUAGAUAUGCGGAGGAACACCGAUGGCGAAGGCAGCCUCCUGGGAUAACACUGACGCUCAUGCACGAAAGCGUGGGGAGCAAACAGGAUUAGAUACCCUGGUAGUCCACGCCCUAAACGAUGCUCAACUAGCCUAGUUGGGGCCUUCGGGCCUUGGUAGCGCAGCUAACGCGUGAAGUUGACCGCCUGGGGAGUACGGUCG
rnacentral:rRNA from 1 species